rnacentral:rRNA from 1 species
CCCUUCGGGGUUAGUGGCGGACGGGUGAGUAACACGUGGGAAACGUGCCUUUUAGGUUCGGAAUAGCUCCUGGAAACGGGUGGUAAUGCCGAAUGUGCCCUUCGGGGGAAAGAUUUAUCGCCUUUAGAGCGGCCCGCGUCUGAUUAGCUAGUUGGUGAGGUAAUGGCUCACCAAGGCGACGAUCAGUAGCUGGUCUGAGAGGAUGAUCAGCCUCAUUGGGACUGAGACACGACCCAAACUCCUACGGGAGGCAGCAGUGGGGAAUCUUGCGCAAUGGGCGAAAGCCAAACGCAUCCAUGCCGCGUGAAUGAUGAAGGUCUUAGGAUUGUAAAAUUCUUUCACCGGGGACGAUAAUGACGGUACCCGGAGAAGAAGCCCCGGCUAACUUCGUGCCAGCAGCCGCGGUAAUACGAAGGGGGCUGGCGUUGCUCGGAAUUACUGGGCGUAAAGGGCGCGUAGGCGGAUCGUUAAGUCAGAGGUGAAAUCCCAGGGCUCAACCCUGGAACUGCCUUUGAUACUGGCGAUCUUGAGUGUGAGAGAGGUAUGUGGAACUCCGAGUGUAGAGGUGAAAUUCGUAGAUAUUCGGAAGAACACCAGUGGCGAAGGCGACAUACUGGCUCAUUACUGACGCUGAGGCGCGAAAGCGUGGGGAGCAAACAGGAUUAGAUACCCUGGUAGUCCACGCGGUAAAAGAUGAUUGCUAGUU